CACGAGUCGAUGGGGGUUAC
rnacentral:piRNA from 1 species